rnacentral:rRNA from 1 species
CUGGCGGCAUGCCUAAAACAUGCAAGUCGAACGGUAACAGCGGAAGCUUGCUUCCGGCUGACGAGUGGCGGACGGGUGAGUAACACGUAGGAAUCUACCUAGUAGUGGGGGACAACCCGGGGAAACCCGGGCUAAUACCGCAUACGCUCUACGGAGGAAAGCGGGGGAUCUUCGGACCUCGCGCUAUUGGAGGAGCCUGCGUCGGAUUAGCUAGUUGGUGGGGUAAAGGCCUACCAAGGCGACGAUCCGUAGCUGGUCUGAGAGGACGAUCAGCCACACUGGAACUGAGACACGGUCCAGACUCCUACGGGAGGCAGCAGUUAGGAAUCUUGGGCAAUGGGCGCAAGCCUGACCCAGCCAUGCCGCGUGUGUGAAGAAGGCCUUCGGGUUGUAAAGCACUUUCAGCGGUGAAGAAAAGCUCAAAGCCAAUACCUUUGAGUCUUGACGUUAACCGCAGAAGAAGCACCGGCUAACUCCGUGCCAGCAGCCGCGGUAAUACGGAGGGUGCGAACGUUAAUCGGAAUCACUGGGCGUAAAGCGCGCGUAGGCGGUUUGUUAAGUGGGAUGUGAAAGCCCCGGGCUUAACCUGGGAAUUGCAUUUCAAACUGGCGAACUAGAGUGCGGUAGAGGGAGGUAGAAUUUCCUGUGUAGCGGUGAAAUGCGUAGAUAUAGGAAGGAAUACCAGUGGCGAAGGCGGCCUCCUGGAUCGACACUGACGCUAAGGCGCGAAAGCGUGGGGAGCAAACAGGAUUAGAUACCCUGGUAGUCCACGCCGUAAACGAUGAGAACUAGCCGUUGGACCCCAUGAGGGUUUAGUGGCGUAGCUAACGCGAUAAGUUCUCCGCCUGGGGAGUACGGCCGNCAAGCUAAAACUC